rnacentral:ncRNA from 1 species
AGGAGCCGUGUGCGUGGAAACACGCACGCACGGUUUUGAAGACCAGCGGGACCGGGGACGGUCUCGCUGAGUUUAAC